rnacentral:tRNA from 1 species
AGACUUGUGGUGUAAUGGUAGCACAUCAGAUUUUGAUUCUGACAGUUAAGGUUCAAAUCCUUACAAGUCUG